rnacentral:rRNA from 1 species
AGUGAACGCUGGCGGCGUGCCUAAUACAUGCAAGUCGAACGGAGUGGCGCACGGGGGAGUAUUGUAUAGCUCAUCUGCCCUAUACUAGAGGACAACAGCUGGAAACAACUGCUAAUACACCAUAGUGUAGGAUGAGGCUUUAUUGUGUCAGCUAGUUGGUGAGGUAAUGGCUCACCAAGUGUAUGACGAAUAACUGGUCUGAGAGGAGGAUCAGUCACCCUGGCACGGAGACACGGUACAGACUACUACGGGAGGCAGCAGAAGGGGAGAAGGCCCAAUGGGGGGAACCCGGAAGCGGCAACGCGGCGUGGGGGAUGAAACUCUUCUGAGCGUAAAAUCCUUGUGUUAGGAGGGCGGUACCUAGCGAAGAAGCACCGGCUAACUCCGUGCCAGCAGCCGCGGUAAUUC